rnacentral:rRNA from 1 species
UCUCGGGGUGAAAGAUCCGUCGGUCCGGGAUGGGCAUGCGGCGCAUUAGCUUGUUGGCGGGGCAACGGCCCACCAAGGCGACGAUGCGUAGGGGUUCUGAGAGGAAGGUCCCCCACACUGGUACUGAGACACGGACCAGACUCCUACGGGAGGCAGCAGUGAGGAAUAUUGGUCAAUGGACGGUAGUCUGAACCAGCCAAGUCGCGUGCGGGAUGAAGGCCCUCCGGGUCGUAAACCGCUUUAGCCGGGGAGUAACGUGCGGCACGUGUGCCGCAGUGAGAGUACCCGGAGAAUAAGCAUCGGCUAACUCCGUGCCAGCAGCCGCGGUAAUACGGAGGAUGCGAGCGUUAUCCGGAUUUAUUGGGUUUAAAGGGUGCGCAGGCGGCGAGUCAAGUCAGCGGUCAAAAUUCGGCGCUCAACGCCGUACCGCCGUUGAAACUGGCGCGCUCGAGUUUGUGCGAGGAUGGCGGAAUGCGCGGUGUAGCGGUGAAAUGCAUAGAUAUCGCGCAGAACCCCGAUUGCGAAGGCAGCUGUCCAGCACACUACUGACGCUCAUGCACGAAAGCGUGGGUAUCGAACA